AUAGCAACCACAAGUCCUUCCCUAAAACCCAAGACUCCUGCACUGCAAAACAUGCAGUCAAUGAAAUUGGCAUUGUGACCUUUGUGAGCUGCUUGAUCCAGGUGUCCAGAUAAAGAAUUCUGCAGCCAGCAACUCAUUCCUAAAGGGAACAGGCCGAAAUUCACACCAUUAAAGCUGAAAAAUAUCUGCUUUUGUCAAUCACUUGGAGACCUUAUAGAUGACAAAAAGCAAGUCUGUGUUCUGCUCUGUCAUGCAUCAUGGUGAAAUUGCCAGCCAACACUUGUUCUUCGACUCUUCAUUGCUGAUAAUGAGGUACAGAAGGAAAAGAACAUGGCUCGAUUUUUUUUUUUUUUUUUUUUGGAUGCUAAAUUGAGCUUUCAGAACUCAGAGUUGGAGACAGAAACCAAUACAGAUUUAGCACAGGGUCACGAUGCCCUUUGUUAAAGAGAAACUUUUCAUGCUUGCAACCACUUGUAGCUCUGAGGAAGGGCAAGGAUUAGCUGUGUCUCUUAGGGCUAUUUGCAUGGCAAUUAUCUUCAUAACCCUGAGAACUCAGAGGAAAAAAUGCAGCAUAGUCUAGUGAAUAAGCUUUAAAUCAAUAAUUUCAAGCCUCUACAUGGACAAGAAAAGAAGUUCCCACCCUGGGAUGUGUGUGGAGACGCAGUAUCACAGCUUAGGGGAUUGGCCCUAAAAUUAAACACAGAAAGCAAAUGAAGUAUAUUGAGUAUAGUUUAGUAUACCACUUAGUUCACUCUCGUGGUUUGAAUAUGAACUACACCCCCAAAGGCUUGUGUAUUGAAGGACUGAAUCCCAAAUUGUGGUGCUAUUCGGGAAGUGUCAUGUUGCUGGAGUAAAUGAAGCACUGGACACCGACAUGCUGUAGAGGUUUAUCCCUGGCCGCCAGGGCCUCAUUGUGUCUCACUUCCUGUUCAUAAAGUGGGUAGCUCCUGCUGCUGUUAGGUUCUGCCUACCAGGCCUCUUACGUCAAUGAAGCCAAGGACCGUGGAUCUCUGGAACCCAAGAAACCUAAGUAACUCUUCACUUGUUUAGAUCAAGGACUUCAUUUCUGCAAUGGAAGGCUAUCACAUUCACUGUUCUAGCUCCUUCUGCCAUCAUUCUUUGUUCUCUGACUCUAAGGUCUUCUUCCCAGCUACCUUGUAGCUGGGUUUUCGAAUAAUUAAAUGAAAUUAGUUAAGCAUGAAUUUUUCAAUAACUACAAAGAAUUUUUAUCUGCCAAAGGCAUUUUCU
rnacentral:lncRNA from 1 species